rnacentral:rRNA from 1 species
CCUACGGGUGGCAGCAGUGGGGAAUAUUGCGCAAUGGGCGAAAGCCUGACGCAGCGACGCCGCGUGAGGGAUGAAGGUCUUCGGAUCGUAAACCUCUGUCAGCAGGGAAGAACGGUCACUGUGCUAGUCAGCAGUGAAUUGACGGUACCUGCAAAGGAAGCACCGGCUAACUCCGUGCCAGCAGCCGCGGUAAUACGUAGGGUGCGAGCGUUAAUCGGAAUUACUGGGCGUAAAGCGCUCGUAGGCGGUAUGUCAAGUCAAGGGUGAAAGCCCCGGGCACAACGUGGGAACUGCCUUUGAAACUGGCAAACUGGAGUGUGUGAGAGGAUAGUGGAAUUCCAGGUGUAGGAGUGAAAUCCGUAGAUAUCUGGAGGAACAUCAGUGGCGAAGGCGACUAUCUGGCACAUAACUGACGCUGAGGAGCGAAAGCGUGGGUAGCAAACAGGAUUAGAUACCCGAGUAGUC